GAUGAACGCUGGCGGCGCGCCUAAUACAUGCAAGUCGAACGAAACUUCUUUAUCACCGAGUGCUUGCACUCACCGAUAAAGAGUUGAGUGGCGAACGGGUGAGUAACACGUGGGCAACCUCCCAAAAGAGGGGGAUAACCCUUGGAAACAGGUGCUAAUACCGCCUAACCAUAGUUACCGCCUGGUAACUAUGUAAAAGGUGGCCAUACUACCGCUUUUGGAUGGGCCCGCGGCGCAUUAGCUAGUUGGUAGGGUAAAGGCUUACCAAGGCAAUGAUGCGUAGCCGAAUUGAGAGGUUGAUCGGCCACAUUGGGACUGAGACACGGCCCAAACUCCUACGGGAGGCAGCAGUAGGGAAUCUUCCACAAUGGGCGAAAGCCUGAUGGAGCAACGCCGCGUGGGUGAAGAAGGUCUUCGGAUCGUAAAACCCUGUUGUUAGAGAAGAAAGUGCGUGAGAGUAACUGUUCACGUUUCGACGGUAUCUAACCAGAAAGCCACGGCUAACUACGUG
rnacentral:rRNA from 1 species